CAUUUUUUUACCGGCCUUUUAGCUUUCCUCUCCUCCUCCCCGCAGGUGGCUGCGGCGCAGAAUACUCUUGGAGCACAAAGAACCUUUCCCACUUUUCAUCUCUCGUCCCAUCUUCUGGCAUCGAAAUUCCUUCUUUGGGCGCAAAGCUGCUGCGGAUCGAUUGAGCUGCUGAGCCGUCUUCGUCAAUGGCGCUUGGACGCCUCCUUCAAAGGGCUUCGAUCAACCAGAUUUCCAGCAGGAUUUUUCCUGCUUUUGAAAGAUCUUUCUCCGCUGCUGCUUCCCCCAGCGAACCCAUCCGUGCCACUCUCUUCCCCGGUGAUGGAAUUGGGCCUGAGAUCGCAGACUCUGUUAAGCAUGUGUUCAAUGCAGCACAAGUUCCAAUAGAAUGGGAGGAACAUUUUGUGGGUGACAAGGUCGAUCCUAGAACAGAGAGCUUUUUAACAUGGGAAAGUCUGGAAUCAGUGCGAAGAAACGGCGUUGGCUUGAAAGGCCCUAUGGCUACUCCCAUUGGAAAGGGUCACCGGUCACUGAACCUUACCUUGAGGAAAGAACUUGGUCUCUAUGCCAAUGUUAGACCUUGCUACAGCCUUCCUGGCUAUAAAACUCGAUAUGAUGAUGUAAAUCUUGUGACAAUUCGUGAAAAUACAGAAGGAGAGUAUAGUGGCCUUGAACACCAGGUGGUGAGAGGUGUUGUAGAAAGUCUGAAGAUCAUUACUCGUCAAGCAAGUUUAAGGGUCGCAGAAUAUGCUUUCCAUUAUGCCAAAGCAAAUGGCCGCCAGCGAGUGUCUGCCAUACACAAGGCCAACAUCAUGAGGAAGACUGAUGGUCUUUUUCUGAAGUGUUGCCGUGAGGUUGCAGAGAAGUACCCUGAGAUAACUUACGAGGAAGUCAUCAUUGACAACUGUUGUAUGAUGCUUGUGAAAAAUCCUACUCUCUUCGAUGUACUGGUGAUGCCCAAUCUCUAUGGAGAUAUAAUCAGUGACCUUUGUGCAGGACUGAUUGGAGGGCUGGGCUUAACUCCUAGUUGCAACAUUGGUGAAGGUGGCAUCGCUCUAGCAGAAGCUGUACAUGGGUCAGCCCCUGAUAUAGCUGGAAAGAAUCUUGCAAACCCAACUGCUCUCCUGCUGAGUUCCGUUAUGAUGUUGCGCCACUUGAGGCUUACCGACAAAGCUGACCAAAUCCACAAUGCUAUACUUAAUACCAUUUCAGAAGGAAAGUAUCGAACGGUUGAUCUUGGUGGGAAUUCGUCAACUACAGAUUUUACAAAGGCAGUAUGCGAUCAUCUUUAGAAAGUUUGUGGCAGCACACCCGGAUAACUGGAUGGUACCGAUCAAAAUAGCGUUUGUUGAAGCGUGGAAAAGCCAAACUACCGCGUAGCUGAGCUGAAGGGUUGAAAGAAAGCAAUAGAGGGGCUUCUCGCGACGACUCCCUCCAUGCCAUGGUUCGAUUUCUGUCCCGACGACCAAUGGUGAAUCACAGGAGCAUAUGGGUCGAUUUCUGUCCCGGGAGUUUGUCAAGCUAAUAAUAAACAACGACAGUCAUUUUGGUUUAGAAUGAUUGACAUUACAGGUGAACUCGACUUCUUCUUCGUGUGCUUCCAUUAUUAUUGGAGGCAAGAUGGAGCCCAACACUCGAAGCAAAAAAGCACAUCCAUUACGAUCGGAACAAAAGUAUUACCAAAUUGUACCAGAGAAAACAUCGUAAUAUAGCUAGAAACACUAAAACAGAGUGGUGACCUAUGGAAGUUGUGUUGCGGCCAGAGCAAACAGAGCUAGAGAGCGGAGCUCACGGAAGCCUCUCCAUGGCAGAAGGCAUAGAGGACCGUACGUUUAGCGAUGCAGAUGAUGCUAUGAAGGAGCCAAGCAAUAAUCCGACGCUUUAUUUGCCCUCUUCGAGGCGGUAAUCUCUGCCUUUCCUUCGUCUCGGAUGAAGAAGAGCUUCUCUCUGCGGCCAUCUCUGUUUUAGCAGAGGAGACGAGAGUGAAGAAGAGUCAUGAUAUGAUAACAUACAUACAUAAUGUAUAUAUAUAUAUAUAUAUAUAUAUAUAGGGAGAGAGAGAGAUAGAGAGAUAGGGUCCCUCCACGAUAUACAAAUCUAGUGAGCUGACCCACACCAGUACUGGAAACGAGAGAAGCAAAGCAACCGAGGGCCCACACGCUUGAUCUCAGUAGAUUCAACGAGCAGGUGGUUGACUUUUAAGUGGAUUUGACGAACACCAAUGUCAUCGAAACAUAUAGGAAAUUGAUCGAAGCUAGUAACCUUAGCGCUUGAGAGUUCUAAGCGCAGAGAAAGAUGAGUGGAGCGAGACGCACGUUACCUGUCAAUAGGAAUAAGGUGGAGAUUUAAGUUGGUAUCUGACUUUGACACCUUUUUUAAUUAGUCAUGUCAACCAGCUCAAAUGUCUCAUGUUGACUUGCAACAUUUUCCUUUGGAUCAGCUGAUCGAAGUCAAAACAUAUACUUGUUGCGAACGCGUUGAAGAAUUGUUCCAAGUCAUCCAGAAGGUAUGCAUAUGGACAUCUCCAUGCUUCGACGAUGAUGAGGCCGUCAAAGAGUAGGAGCUCUCUAGAAUUAAUUCUUGCUCUCCCAAAGCUUACACGUAAUUGGCAUUGUAGACGACACGUACUUUGAGACCCAGGAAUGGUUAUUGGGCCGGGCAGAGCUAAGCGAGGCUUUGAGAUCAUUUCGAUAACGCAGCAAGGCCCAUAGCCAUCCUUUUGUGCCCCGUAAUUGUCAUUCUGUCUCUUUCCCUUUCAAUCCAUUUCUUACUUCUCUCCA